AUGCCAUGAUGAGGACACCUUCUGAGCAACUCUUUAAAUCUCUCACAAGCCUCAUACAAACUCCCAUCUUCAAAUUAAUGAAAAGAAAUGAUCUCAUUCUGUAAUUUU
rfam:Citrus clementina cultivar Clemenules unplaced genomic scaffold scaffold_9, whole genome shotgun sequence.